rnacentral:rRNA from 1 species
AAAGAAACCAACCGGGAUUGCCUCAGUAACGGCGAGUGAAGCGGCAAGAGCUCAAAUUUGAAAGCUGGCCCCUUCGGGGUCCGCGUUGUAAUUUGCAGAGGAUGCUUCGGGUGCGGCCCCUGUCUAAGUGCCCUGGAACGGGCCGUCAGAGAGGGUGAGAAUCCCGUCUUGGGCAGGGUGCCCGUGCCCGUGUGAAGCUCCUUCGACGAGUCGAGUUGUUUGGGAAUGCAGCUCUAAAUGGGUGGUAAAUUUCAUCUAAAGCUAAAUACCGGCCGGAGACCGAUAGCGCACAAGUAGAGUGAUCGAAAGAUGAAAAGCACUUUGAAAAGAGAGUUAAACAGCACGUGAAAUUGUUGAAAGGGAAGCGCUUGCGACCAGACUCGGCCUCGGGGUUCAGCCAGCACUCGUGCUGGUGUACUUCCCCGGGGGCGGGCCAGCGUCGGUUUGGGCGGCCGGUCAAAGGCCCCAGGAAUGUAUCGCCCUCCGGGGUUGUCUUAUAGCCUGGGGUGCAAUGCGGCCAGCCCGGACCGAGGAACGCGCUUCGGCACGGACGCUGGCGUAAUGGUCGCAAACGAC